UUCCGGUUGAUCCUGCCAGAGGUUACUGCUAUCGAGGUUCGACUAAGCCAUGCGAGUCGAAUGUAGCAAUACAUGGCGUACUGCUCAGUAACACGUGGACAACCUACCCUGAGGUCGGGGAUAAACCCGGGAAACUGGGUAUAAUACCCGAUAGAUCUAGGAGGCUGGAAUGCAUUUAGAUCUAAAGUUCCGACGCCUCAGGAUGGGUCUGCGGCCUAUCAGGGUAGUAGUAGGUGNUACGUACCUACUAGCCUACGACGGGUACGGGGUUGUGAGAGCAAGAGCCCGGAGAUGGAUUCUGAGACACGAAUCCAGGCCCUAC
rnacentral:rRNA from 1 species